UUUGAAAACUGGACCAGCAGACAAAUGAAUGAAAAGUUGGCAACAGCACCAUGCCAUGGAGGUCAGAAGCAGGAAAGACUUGGGUUCAAGUCUAACACUUAGGACCUUGGAACUACCUUGGAGAAGUAACUUACUUCUCCAAGUAAAGAGAAACCACAAGAGAGGCUCUGGCCUAUGUUUUCCUCUUGCUGUCUCCUGACCCAGCCUGGUGCUUCCCUGCAAGACUCCCCACGAUGCGGGUGCCCCUCCUCUUGGGAUCGAUCAUGAAACUCUCGUGACCUGCAUGUGAGUGGUGCUCUCGUAAGUGGAGCCUUCUUAUGACUGAAGACCAGGGAAUCACCCAGAAGAACACCAACAAGCAAGCGUUGGUAGAUGCCUGCAGUUUACAACACCUACCUCACACUGUCAUGCCACUCCACGGCUGGCUGCUCUUCAUCAAACCUUGCAUAAACAUACACAGGUCCAUUCCUCUGGGUCUUCAUUUCCUUGUGGAGGCUCCCAUGUCACACAAAACUUAUAUUAAAUAACUUUGCAAGUUCUUCUUCUGUUAAA